rnacentral:rRNA from 1 species
CCUACGGGAGGCAGCAGUAGGGAAUAUUGCUCAAUGGGGGAAACCCUGAAGUAGCAACGCCGCGUGGAGGAUGACGGUUCUCGGAUUGUAAAAUCCUUUUGUUAGAGAAGAUAAUGACGGUAUCUAACGAAUAAUCACCGGCUUACUCCGGGCCAGCAGCCGCGGUAAUACGGCGGGUGCAAGCGUUAAUCGGAAUCACUGGGCGUAAAGGGGGCGUAGGCGGGAAAGCAAGUCAGAUGUGAAAUCCUAGGGGCUAACCCUAGAAGUGCAGUUGAAACUGUCAUUCUAGAGUAUGGGAGAGGUAGGUGGAAUUCGUGGUGUAGGGGUAAAAUCCGUAGAGAUCAAGAAGAA